UACGUAGGAUGCAAGCGUUGUCCGGAUUUACUGGGCGUAAAGCGCGCGCAGGCGGCAUGGCAAGUAAGGUGUGAAAUCUCCUGGCUCAACCGGGAGGGUGCACUUUAGACUGCCAAGCUUGAGGUCGGUAGAGGGGGGUAGAAUUGCUGGUGUAGCGGUGAAAUGCGUAGAGAUCAGCAGGAAUACCCGUGGCGAAGGCGGCCCCCUGGGCCGUACCUGACGCUGAGGCGCGAAAGGCUAGGGGAGCGAACAGG
rnacentral:rRNA from 1 species